CAGCCCCGAGCAAGCGCCCCGCUCUCUCUCCUCCGCGCCCCACUCCCCAUGCCCAGUUCGUGGGGCGGGGCCUCGGCCGGAGAGGGGCCAAUGGGGGUCAGCGCGGCGGAACCGAGUGGCAGAGAGAAGAGCCAAUCGAGGCCAGGUGUGGGCACCCGGCUGAGUAAACGUCUGCUGCGUGGAAUACGUUUAGACUCUGCUUCAGGGGCCAAGUCCCACACUCUGCAACGCCGCGAGUCCCGCCCUCUCGGGAGCCGGGGCGGUGCAAGAAAACAAUCCCCGCACCUGCAGAAUGCAGGCACCUUCCGCUCCGGACCAGGCGCCUGCCCCCACCUGAGCUGUACCCCAGGUGGGCGCGACGGGCCUCUGCCCCAGCCCUCUUAUUUUGAACAACAUCUAUUUUACAGUAGCUACUUGAGUAAAAGCUGUAGGGUUCGAAAGGGCUCUUAAGCACUCGGGUUUAACCCCUAGGAAACCCUUCACUCUAACACCCUAUGCCUCGCUUUUAUUUUCAGAAGACAAAAGAGACUGAGGUGUGCUCCUUCAGCCGGUAGGGUGCAGAGGAAGUGGUGGGUCCUUUCCUUGCACCUUCAGAACUAGAAUUACCGUAUUUUCUUACUUCCUCAACAAAACACCAGAGUAUGUCAAGGAGAUGUCACAUACCCUGAUGUUCUGGGAUACUGAUCUCUCUCCAGCCAUUGAAACUUUCACCAUUGCCUUGGGAUCCAGCAGGAAGAAGCACUGCCUCCUCUUCACCAGGACAUCACAAACCCUGGUUCUUCCCAUCAUAGUCUCCUUGUAGCACAGCUAAGACCAGGGUUAUAUAACAAUAUUAAAAAGGAAGAGCAAUACAGAGUAAACUGCAGAAACAACACAUAUGUGGUCUACAUCCACAGAGAGAAAAGGAACAGUUUUUCUCUUCUGCAUCAAUGUCUGCGGAAGCAAUGCUCCUGCUCCACACACAAAGAUUUGCAUAUCCAAAUGGAGCACUCUGCUUCACAAACUAAAGCAUCUACACUCAAGUUAUAGUUUUCCAAGAGUAAUAAAUGUAUACUUGCUUUAAAAUGAAUAGUUAAACAAUCCAUGUAGUUUUUCCAGAGCAGUCUGCCUCUGAAGAAAUGUUCAAGUCUUCUCUUUCAUCAGGACAGAAAUCACCAAUGGUUUAAGAAAGCCUUUCUACCUUCUACUAACUCUUAGGAUUUUCAGUUAGCCCCCAUUACAUUUAGAAGAAUUUUUAAUGUGUAUUUCUAUGUGGAAAUAUAAGUGCAUGUAUUGUUUUUAUUCCAAACUACAUUUAUUGAUCAUUUAUUGUGUGUUAGGCACAUACUCUAUGACAGCUUUCUAGAAAACAUAGACAUAGCCCAAAGAAUAUGGGAAAAUGAGAUGUACAAACAAAAAAGUUCACAAUCUAGGAGUGUUAGGUAUAUAAACAGCUAUUAUACAACAUAUGGAGCAUGAGUAAAGUACUAUAAGAGAACAACAAAUGGUACAAUUAUUUAAGCAUGGGAGACAGCACAGUCUCCCAUGAGAAAGCAUUGGAGUUGAGCCCCUAGGAAUGAAUAGUAUGGUGAUGGGUGUAGACAGCAGAAGAGCAAGAUAUGGUAUGAGGAGUGACAUUUUAAGUAGAGGAAACAGCAUGAUAAAGACAUAGAAGAACAAAUAUGUAUAGCAUGUUUUAGAAAUUGCAAGUGCCCCUGGAUAGAUAGCACGUGGGCUGCAUUGGCUGGGAAGAAAUGAACUGAGGACAAAUCAUAUAGAACCUUCCAUGCCAUAGUUAGGAAUUUGGACUCUGUUGUAUAGACUGGUGGUGGGGGGUUGGGGGUGUUGCAGGUUUUUAAGCAGCGAAAUGACAGAAUCAGAUCUGUGUUUUAGAACUGAUCAUUUUGAUAGUGUCAAUGUUUAACUUAUAGCAAGAGGUGAUUAUUUACUAUGGAAAAAAUGCAUUCUGAAAACAAUAGAAUGUCUUUAAUGAGGCAUCAGAAGCAUUUAUAAUAGGUGUCUCAGAUGUGAGUGACAGGCUUUAUUAUAUUCUCCAAUUAUGGUUCAUUUUCCUUAUAUUUCCAGCCAGUCUUCAGUUAUUGUUCUAGAAAUGAAAUGUAUAUGAAACAAAGCAAAUUAAUUCAUUUAUUCAAAAAAGAUUAUUAAUGGUCUACUAUGUGCAAGUACCCAUGCCAGGUGCUGAGAGAAUUCAAAGAUGAAUAAAAUAUAUUCCCAAUCCUCAUAGAAUUUACAGCUCUAUGCAAUCUGCAAAAUUACUUCAACAUUU